CCUGGGGGCUCAGUGGUAGAGUACCUGCCUGCAGUGCAGGAGACCUGGGUUUGAUCCUUGGGUCAGGA
rnacentral:tRNA from 1 species